CUCUCGGUCUCUCCUCUUUUCCCCCCCUCUCUGUCUGAAUCGGUGAAUCAACAAUACCAGACAACUCUCUCUCUCCCUCUCAAAUCCACACCACACCUCGAGCGACCAAGAUCACUACAGUCUACACUUCAAGCGACCAGCGAAGAACACAAACCUAGAACAAUCGAAGUUCAGCAUCGGGCCUUAACAUUUUGCAAGAACAAGGUUCAAGAAACAUGCAUUCUCAGUAAUCAGGUCUCUUUUCUGGAAGAAGAAAGUUGAUGGGAAUGGGUGGAGUUGGCAAAAAGAAAAUAGCUUGUAGAUAUUACUCUCCCGGUAGCUCACGUCCCGGCGUAAUGUCCGUCCUCCUGAUUGAUACGAUCCAGUGGCCCCAUACCUCACUGCCGCUGUAAUCGCCGUAGCGGUGGAGGAAGAAGAGGAGUCGGCACUUGCCAUGGUGGAAGUGGAGUCGGCAUUGGAGGAAGAGUAGGCUUCGCCGGAGGAAGAGGAGGUUUGGCCGCCGGCGGCGGCAUUCGCGUGAUGGAGGCGAAGAUUCCCCAUAAGUCUAUCCCAUUUACUACUUAUACGGGGUAUUUUUGGUGGAGACUUCAACCUCAUUAUACAUCUAUUUAUAGUCACUCGAAAAUUUUUGGCCAUUUAUAAAAAUCUUAAUAUUCUAGAUCAUUUAGAUUUUGUUUAACUAAAAAUUCUAGAAGAAUAAGAAUGUAUGUUAGAUUUUCA